rnacentral:rRNA from 1 species
GAUGAACGCUGGCGGCGUGCCUAAUACAUGCAAGUCGAGCGAACAGACGAGGAGCUUGCUCCUCUGACGUUAGCGGCGGACGGGUGAGUAACACGUGGAUAACCUACCUAUAAGACUGGGAUAACUUCGGGAAACCGGAGCUAAUACCGGAUAAUAUAUUGAACCGCAUGGUUCAAUAGUGAAAGACGGUUUUGCUGUCACUUAUAGAUGGAUCCGCGCCGCAUUAGCUAGUUGGUAAGGUAACGGCCUACCAAGGCAACGAUGCGUAGCCGACCUGAGAGGGUGAUCGGCCACACUGGAACUGAGACACGGUCCAGACUCCUACGGGAGGCAGCAGUAGGGAAUAUUCCGCAAUGGGCGAAAGCCUGACGGAGCAACGCCGCGUGAGUGAUGAAGGUCUUCGGAUCGUAAAACUCUGUUAUUAGGGAAGAACAAAUGUGUAAGUAACUAUGCACGUCUUGACGGUACCUAAUCAGAAAGCCACGGCUAACUACGUG